rnacentral:lncRNA from 1 species
GCUAAGAUUCAAUGCUCAUUCGUUGGGGGAAGAGGCUGCUAUUCAACAAAUCAAUCGUCCAUCUAUUGGUAGUAACAACUAAGGCCUGUUUUCUUUUCUUCUUCUUCUUCUUCUCGUCCUUUUUUUUCUUCUUCUUUUUUUAUUGGCAACAGUAGAUAAAAAAUUUUCUUUAUUUAACCUAUUUAUGGAAUUAGCUGAGUUGCAAUUCUUUCCCUUUUUCUUUUAUUGACAAAUUCUGCUUCUUUUGCAUCAGUAAUACAAAGUUGUUUAUGGUUUU